AUGUCUUCACCCAGGACAAAUGAGGAUGAGGUAAGGUGUCAGAUUGUUUGUUAAGCUGCCCAUCAAAUUCUCUCUCCCCUUCAAUGAGUGUGUGAAACAGACGUGGUUUGAUUUCUCAGAAUUAUGCUGCGACUGAGUGGUUGUUUUUCCCCCCCUGAGAUGUUAACAAUGGAUCCUUAGUGAUGCAGAAGAGAGAAUCAUCCUGGGGCUAUCCCUGGCACCCCUACAAAACCACACCUCAGCUCUCUCGCCCACGCUCCAUCAGCCUACCACUGGGGAUGCAUGAGGGUAUGAGCAGAGCAGUCAAACAAGUGCAGGUGUCCCAUUGACAGAUACUAUAUGUUCAGGGGAAUUGGCUCUUAAUGGCUCUAUAAUGUGUUAUUGUUUACCCCACACGGCACAACCGACCUAUCAUGAGAGAGAUGGUUUGCUGAGCCUGUUGGUUGAUGGUUGACACUUGUCUCUCCAGGCUACUUGCUUCUCAACAGAGGCCUGUUUUAACCCACCCCCACAUGUCAAAAAACAUGAUUCAUGUUCAAGCCACUUCUUGCUCUUGCUGCUCACCAUUUUUGGUUGUCAUAACACCUUCCCAGGGCAGUGGUGGGAUAUGUUUAGAUUUAACAUGUAGCUCAGACAAGUAGAGAAGGAGAGGAAGGGCCCCUACGAGCCCUUUGGGCAGAUUAUGUGGGGCGUAUUUGCCUCCCUUCUGAGGUCGUAGGGUCCUCACUGUCUGUGCUCUAUCUUUCAGCCCUGGAGAAAGGAGGAGCUGAGUUUACCGGUCUUCCCCCCACACCUGAGCACUACAGGCAGAUACUGACACCUAGACUCCAGGUACUUCAAUCACUGAACCCACCUAUGGGGAAAGAGACAAAGAAGGACUGUGUAGGGCUGGAUCCCUGGGGCCGUCAAAAGCAGUUUCCUGGAACUAGAGAGGAUUUUGAGCCGGAUCAGUCUCCCUCUCCUGGCUAGACACCAUGGCAGCAGCACUGUUGUUAGGUGGAGGAACUCACCCGUCCCACUGAAUGAGUCCCCUAUGCCUUUGUUUUAAACAUAAAGGGAAAAUUAUAUGUUAUUAAAUCACUUAUUUUUAAUGCACUGAACGAUCCUUCUCAGGCAAAAUAAUACAUUAUAACUCUACAAUCAUAGCCCCGGAGAGACAAAAUGAAGAGCCCAAUUAUGACGAGCUAAAUUGCUUCAGGGCAACGAUGUUUGGAUACCAGUCAUUUUUUGGAAGGCAACUGAUCUUCUCAUUCUCCUGAGGGAAAUGAUCCGUUUGUCUUUGAAGCCGUGAUGAAAGGUUGAAUGAAAGCAGAUGAGUACCUGUCAAAAAAGAGAGGGAGAAUUCAUAAGGUCUCUGUCUAUGGUGACCAGGGAGAGGGGUUCGACUGGCAUUUGUUUCUGCUCUUUGGCUGUAAUGGAGCACAGCGGUGUGUGGAGGUGAGCGGGGUGAGAGGGGCGUGCCCACCCAGAGAGAGGAGGAGGUGAAAUGACUGCCCUGAAGAUACUG
rnacentral:lncRNA from 1 species